rnacentral:rRNA from 1 species
UACAGAGGCCCCAAGCGUUACUGAGAAUCACUGGGUUUAAAGGGUGCGUAGGUGGUCCGUUAAGUCUGUUGUGAAAGCCCUUGGCUCAACCAAGGAAUUGCUUCGGAUACUGGCGGACUUGAGGCUAGUAGAGGUCACUGGAACUGACGGUGGAGCGGUGAAAUGCGUAGAUAUCGUCAGGAACGCCGGUGGUGAAGACGGGUGACUGGGCUAGUUCUGACACUGAGGCACGAAAGCGUUGGGGAGCGAACGGGG